rnacentral:rRNA from 1 species
AGUGAACGCUGGCGGUAGGCCUAACACAUGCAAGUCGAACGGCAGCACAGUAAGAGCUUGCUCUUACGGGUGGCGAGUGGCGGACGGGUGAGGAAUACAUCGGAAUCUACUUUUUCGUGGGGGAUAACGUAGGGAAACUUACGCUAAUACCGCAUACGACCUACGGGUGAAUGCAGGGGAUCUUCGGACCUUGCGCGAUUGAAUGAGCCGAUGUCGGAUUAGCUAGUUGGCGGGGUAAAGGCCCACCAAGGCGACGAUCCGUAGCUGGUCUGAGAGGAUGAUCAGCCACACUGGAACUGAGACACGGUCCAGACUCCUACGGGAGGCAGCAGUGGGGAAUAUUGGACAAAGGGCGCAAGCCUGAUCCAGCCAUACCGCGUGGGUGAAGAAGGCCUUCGGGUUGUAAAGCCCUUUUGUUGGGAAAGAAAAGCAGCAGGUUAAUACCCCGCUGUUCUGACGGUACCCAAAGAAUAAGCACCGGCUAACUUCGUG